rnacentral:tRNA from 2 species
GGAGAGGUGGCAGAGUGGUCGAAUGUACCUGACUCGAAAUCAGGCGUACGGGCAACCGUACCGUGGGUUCGAAUCCCACCCUCUCCGCCA